GAUGAAGAACGUAGCGAAAUGCGAUAAGUAAUGUGAAUUGCAGAAUUCAGUGAAUCAUCGAAUCUUUGAACGCACAUUGCGCCCUCUGGUAUUCCGGGGGGCAUGCCUGUUCGAGCGUCAUUACAACCCUCAAGCUUUGCUUGGUAUUGGACAUUGCCAGUUUCUGGCAGGUCUUAAAAUCAGUGGCGGUGCCAUUUGGCUUCAAGCGUAGUAAUUCUUCUCGCUUUGGAGAUCCAGGUGGUUACUUGCCAAUAACCCCCAAUUUUUUCAGGUUGACCUCGGAUCAGGUAGGGAUACCCGCUGAACUUAAGCAUAUCAUAAGCGGAGGA
rnacentral:misc_RNA from 1 species